GAUCCAGGAUCUCAUAAAAAAAUGCUCCCAUCCUGCCCUUUUUGUCAUAUAAGCGUUCCUUCAGCAGAGUUGGAGAGGUAACGAUCCAAAACCCCAGUUAAUUCUCAUCUAAUAUUUUCUUGUAGAUGCACUCAGUGGGUAUGUUCAUUUGCUACAUAACAUGCUUUUAUAGGCAUGCGAACAAUCAUUUUGUGGAGGAUGAACUUGAAAGCGACAUGGAAUUGGCUAUGCAAAUUGCACUAGCACCCCCAAGUCCUGAAUUAAUGGUAGUAAUGGCUCUAUUAUUUCAUGUGGCAUUUCUAGGCAUAAAUAUCUUUUGCGCAACAUUAUUCAUAUGUUUGACAAGAAUCUCUCUUUUUCCUUACUAGAUAAAUGAGUAUUUCUGUGUUUAAAGAUAUAUAUACAUCGGUUAUGUUCUUGUUCAUUUUCAGCUAACCUGAUCGACGCACAAAUUACAACCAUUCUUUCUGACUUCUCUCUCCAAUUCCUAUGAUGUGGUGCUCGUUCCCAUUUGUAUUUAAGUGCCAAGCAAACCCAUCAUACCAUUACCAUCAACUGAAACGUAAAAUUUAUGACUUGGAUAAGAAUUUUGACAUGCCAAGGACGAAACUACUAUAAUUCUAUGUGUAUAUGGGUUUACAGUUCUUUAUAAAUUGUUGCAUGUUACUAAAUGAUUGGCAACAUCUUAAUUCGCACAUUUAAAAAAUUUUCUAAUUUUGUCCCCCUCAUAGCAUCUCUAUAAAUUCCAAAUUAACAUGAGAAUGUCCCCCUUACUGUAUGGCUUAGUUAUUAUCACAGUUCAGUGUUGAUUUUGACAGUCAUUUUUAUUUUAACUAAAUCUUAUUUAUAUUCUGUUUUGCUUAAGUAAGGUUCCUGCCCAUUUCUGGGUCUGCACACUUGAUGGCUAACUGUACAAAAAUAAAUUCUAGCUGGAUGCUUUAUAGAUUCCUUGCAUUUGCCUAAGAAUAAACAUAUGGUGUGCUGGUGUGCAUUAUGGUGCAUUUGCAGGAUGAAACAACAAACGAUAGAGACCAGUAUGCUGCCCGUUCAGAAAGAUCUCCAGGACAGCAUGAUUCAGACUUCAAUCAUAAUCUUCCUAAUUCUAGGAAAGUUGAUGAUCAAGAAACGUCUUUGCUGAUUGGUUCACAAAUUAAAAGCCCCUUUUAUAAUGUCCAAGGUGGUCUCAUGGCCUUGAUUAGGCGAUGCUUGGAGUUAGAAAAUGGCAACGCAAUAACUAUUGUUUCUGGUCAUGUCGAUCACUACCAGAGUAAUGAAUCAGAAGAUAUUGGUUGGGGAUGUGGAUGGCGAAACAUUCAAAUGUUGAGUUCUCAUUUGUUGGGCCAAAGGCCAGAUGCAAGAGAUGCUAUGUUUGGUGGGUCAGGAUUUGUCCCUGAUAUUUUAUCACUUCAGAGGUGGCUGGAAGUUGCCUGGAAAAGAGGUUUUGAUACUUAUGGAUUUGAUUCUUUUGGUCAAAAGAUUUAUGGCUCCAAGAAAUGGAUUGGAACUACUGAAUGUGCUACAAUCCUCCGUUCCUUUGGGCUUCGAGCAAGAAUUGUAGAUUUUGACAGUAUGACUUCUAAACAGCCACUAAACCAUAGGAAUCCUGGAUGCAAAUUGGCUGGAAAACAGAGUCAUGGGCCAAUGGAUAAGUUUCUGCAGCGCACAAUGAAUGAAGAUUCUCAAGUAGGUCCAUCAGCCUGUGAUAAACACUUACCAGAAAAAGACUGUCAUCAUCAAGGCAAAAACCAAGGAAAAAUCUAUGGUCCGCAAGUCCUUGUUGAUUGGGUAUGGAAAUACUUUGCCUGUGAAUUCGAUAGCAGACUGGACGCUUCCAAGUCUGUUCUCAUCAGUGAGAAAACGUUAGUUCUCUAGACACAUGUAUGAUCUAACCUCUAUUAAAAUGGCAAUAUGCUCAUACACUACUAUUCUAUUCUGUCAUAUUUCCUGUUAUUUAGAGCUUGUUUUGACAAUGCGAUGAUAUAUCAUUUUUCGCCCACAAGCAGGCCCUUGUACCUCCAGCAUGAUGGACAUUCACGAACCAUUGUAGGGAUUCAAAUGCAAAAGGGAAAAUGUGCAUCAGAUCAUCAUUACUCGUUAUUGGUUUUAGACCCUGCUCAUGUAAGUUGAAUUUUUCUUUUUUGUCAUGAUGGACAUUCACGAAGUUGACUGGGAUUUGAGUUGGUGCUAAAUGGAUCCGGUUCAUUAAUUCUGUAGAUCAUUUCACAUACUGUGUUAACAGUCCUCAAUCAGGUUUAGGAACUUUACCUAAUUGAGUUGAUGCAUGAAACACAUGAUUUUCAGGUUGACCUGUUGGCCUUAUCAUGCAAGACUCACGUACAUGUGUCAAAUUGUGCUAUUAAUGGUUAGUAAUUAAUGCAUCCAGCGCUGAUGUAGCCUACACCAACUAGUUGGGCAUAUGGCUUGUCGAGAAUAGUUAACAGUGGCAUCCUUGAUCCUCAUCUAAUUAGACCUGUUUAAUGUAUGGAUAUUGCUGAUGGAAUCAUCAACUGUAUAACGGAUGGACUGAAUUUGGUAAAGAAUUUUGACAUGUUGUUAAAUGGGUCACUUAAAGUAUUAACCUAACUUCUGUCUAGCCCCAAUGAACUGUUGACAGUUGAUGGUCGACAGCAAUAAUAUAGUUUUUUUUUAAAUAAGAUGGAUCUUGUUAUAUAAAUCAAAGAUAACAUGGUAUUCAGAUGACAUUCAGUUUGUUCAUUGACAAUUAUGUUGAUAUAAUUGCAUAUGUGAUAAUUUAUAAAAAAAUUCUUCUUAAGCUCCUGUUUGACAUUGAGUUUUUUAAUUUGUUCCUGCUAUUGUUGCGUCUCUAAUUCAUAAUAUCAUAUUGGUUCUUUCAGAGAACAGCUGCCUUGGAAAGGUCUCUUGCCGAUAAUAAUGGCUGGCAGAAGCUGAUCAAAAGAGGAACCCACACACUGAAAAAGCCCCAAUAUCAGGUUAUCUCAAUUCUCAUAAUCUUUCUACUUGACUUUUAGCCUAUUUACAUACAAUCUCCUGACAUACAUUAUGAAAGUUAUGUUAUGUUGAUCCUGGGAUUGCCCAUGGAGUGGAGAUGGAGCAGCUCAAGAUUAUUGACAGCAUAUUAGUUGAACUAUAAGAAAUCAGGUACAAAAGCUAUUAAUUUGCAAGUUCCUUUUCUAUAAUUAUUGAGACUAGUUUUCUUUUGUCAUAUAGGCGUGUUUUCAUUUGUUUUACUUUAUGGAAAAAUGCAAGUUGGACCUUAAUGAAUUGAUCCCUUGGGUCCAGCAUCAUUGCAUAAACUCAUCAAAGUUUGGCUCACCCAUUUCUGUCCCAGUUGGGUAGAGUUGAGACAGAUCUCAUCAAAUUCCUGCGUCUGAACUUAAAAAAGGAAUGACACAUCCAUGAUUUUCAUGUUCGGUUUAUGUAAUUAAUGUAAUUCUACAUAGGCUGGCAGCAUAGUUCAUCAUAACUCAUCAAAGCCAAAUAUCACGUACUACCAGUGGAACUAUGAGAGGGAUAAUUCUGUUGAAUCUCAUCAGACCAUUCUUUAAUAUUGUUUUUUUUUAAAUCAACCAAGAAGAUGGUGUGUAUACAUGAUACUGGAUAUGCAUGGUCGGUCUUCCAAAAGCAGAAUAAAUAGCCUUGAAACUUGCCAUUUGUUUUGUUUUGUUUUUUUUUUAAUACCUGAGCCCCACAAAAGGAAGGCAUAGAUAGUUGUAAUAUUGCUUCUCAUUCUGGUUCAGGAAAGCAAAUUUGUCAUUUAGCCAUACCAAAUCACCUUUGGAAAUGAUCUUCUUUUCCUUGUUGUUUUUUAAUCCUAUGGUAAAACACAUCGGACACUACUAGAAUUAGUUGCAACUAUCAUGAGUUCCUGAUUAUAUAAAAAAAAAGAAGCAUUUAUUGGUGACUGGAAUUUGAUGUUGAUUGAAAUAGCAAGUAUAUAUAUUUCUGGUGAUCCUCGAAGGAACUCACUUCUACUCUUUGUAUAUUGGUUUACAAAAUAAAUAUGAAUAGGGGGGGGGGGGACAUGCAUCACAUAAAGUAACAUCUCCUUGAGCUUUAUUGUAACUACUGUGUACCUAAAUUCCAUUAUUUUUUUUUUUAGUUUCCUUGGGAACCGUGACGUCAGGGCAACUAUAGCAUUAAACAUCGUGCAAAUUUAAUCAUAACUUGUUGUUUUGAUGGCUCAAUAGCGAGCGGGUCAACUACAUCCCCAGCCUAUAAAAUUCCCAAUCAAAUGAUUUCUUCCGUUUCGAUUUGUUGAUAGCGGUGGACCCCGCUGUUCGUCCGCUCCCAUUGACUUAUUAUUACCUAUUUCUUUAAUUUACCACCACGAACUCCGCCCCUCUUGUUUUUGUGCCUUUGCGGCCGAUAAUAAGGGUUCGGCAUCGGCGAACGGUUCUUUGCUCGCCCUUUCUUUGGUUGUGGCUUUUCUUUCCUCUCUCUCUCUCUCUCUCUCUUAGGUUUGAGCGCCUGUUCUCUCCCGGUGACGGCAAGAUGCAUCAACAAUCCUUCACCGUCGACGGCUUCUUCUUGAUCGGUAUUAAUUUAAUCUACCCCCAGUCUCCUCCAUGCCCCCCCUUUGCCCUUCUCUCUGUCCCUCUCCCACCGGCGAUUCGGCUAUUUCGUUCGUCCGUUCCUACUUCUUGAAUGUUUCUUUUAUUUUAUUGAUCGAUUCUUCCGGCAGCGGCGAGAUGCUUCAUGGAUUCGCCAGGCUCGAUGGCUUCUUCUUGAACGGUAUCGAUUUAAUUCGACCCCUAAUCCCUGGGAUGAUCUCUUUCUCCUUCCUUUCCCCUUUUCUUGCUUGCUCUCCCUCUCGAUUCAGUUAUGUCGUGAUCUGUUCCAACUUCUUGGGUUUUAUUGACCGACCGAUCAAUCGAUUGAUGCCAUCUUCUUGUCGUUGGGAAGCAGUGAAGGAAGGGGUGGAUGAGAUGAUCAAGUUGUUGGCCAACGAGCCCUCCGUGGGGCUUUUCUUUGUCGAACAGCACGCCCAAACCUCCAUGCCCUACCUCCUCGGCCUCAAGGUAUGUGUGUCUUCGUCUCCGCCACUACUUCCUCCAACCAUAAUCUGAAAUUUUCUGGCAUUAGCAAAUUGGAUUUCCUAGAAAACAAUGUUGUUGAAGGACGGGGAAUUGAGCCGGGUUAUUCCUUUCUUGAUUAGGUUUUCUUGAUUCCUACACCUAAAUGUUCAAAAAGGAGUUGUCAUGAUGUGCUUAGACAGAACGAUUACCAUAACAUUAUCGCAAGCUUUAGCUUGCAUGGCGAGGAUGUUUGGCAGUUGAAUCUUUUCGUUUUCAUUGUUCAUCUAUUGCAUUAUAUUUUUUCUCCAAGGUUUGGUGUGUGGUGCAGCUACUUAUCUUGCACUGAAUUCAUCAUUCUUUGAUCUGUGUUACUUCCUAGAACACUUUCUACGAGCAACAAAGUCAUAACAUCCUAGCCCAAAAUGAUUUCAGGUUUGUCCCUCGUGGGAUUGCUUAGAAGUUACUCUUUGGAGAUCUAUGUUGUGGAAGACAAUAAUUUGUUAGUGUUUUUUUUUUAGAGAAAGGAAAUUUAUGGAGGAAGACCUUCCAUCAUUGGAAUGGAACAGUAUAUUUAAUGAUGGUUUUUUGGCAUAGUAAGUGUCGUCCUCGUCUUCUUCUUUCUUUCUCUUCCUCAUAUGCUGUAUUGUUUUUUAUAUGUCAUUUAUUUCUUUCACCUUUAGUUGAAAAGUUUUGGGGACUGAAAAAUGUACACAGUUGUACUACUUAAAGCUCUUCUAGAGGAGACAAAGAUAGAACCUAUUCUGCAGAACAGGAUAGAUAACCAAGUGGCAAAAUCUGUCUUUGUUAACUUCAUGGCUUGUCAGUCAUGUGAUGUUACUUUUGAAAAAGCAGCAAGGUGGCAGAACCACUUGUUUGCUCAUAUUCAAAUUUUUUAUCCCCAAUCGGCCAAAUGUUGCAUUUUGUAUUCAAUUUGUUUGUAAUGAGUAGUUGAUUACUUGUAGGGAGGAGUCCAUCUAUAAGCAGGCAAACCAUAUUAUAAGAUUGUUUUUACUGUAAUGACUCUGGACAAGGAAUCAUUACAUGCUUUAUUUAAGGUCUAACCUUCCUGCUUUAAAGUAGGACAAGUCUUCCUACAGGCUUAUUCAUUUUUGUUGUUAUCUGUAACAAAUUAAAUAACCAUUUAUUUGUCAUCUUAUAGAAUUUAUUCUGUUUUUCACGUUCUCAGAGAUGAAUAUUUAUCUACAUUAACUUUGUUAUAUUUUGGAUAUUGAGAAAUCUCAACCACUAACCUUUUGGGUAUUGAAUAUAACUUUCUUAUAUUACAUGCUAUUGAUUUAGAGUGAUCUAACAUUCAUGAAGGAUUUUUAUUCAGCCAACUUAGGAUAUUAGGCCCUCGCCUUUUUCAUUCCCCAUCACAACCAUCACCUACUCACCCACCACCAAACUAAACAAAUUUCUUGGAUGAGGAUUGCAUCAGCAACUACGAGAAACACGAAUCAUUUGAUGCUGAUGAUUGCCAUGCCUAGGUCACUAUUUCUUUCUGAAGUAGUACUUGCUAGUCUAUUAAAAUUCAUCUCUUGUUGCUUUACCUAGAAACAGAAGAUAUUUCUAUUCAGGAAAUAUUAGGUUUCAUGAUUAAUUUCCUUUCUAAAGUUGUGUUAGGUUUCAUGACUAGUUCCCUUUCUAAAGUUGCUUAACAAGGAUUGAUCAUCAUUGUUUAAUAACUGUCUUAGAUUCAGUUGUGGAGUCUAAGUUGACAUGACAUAGUCUUAUUUUGUUGUCCACGGUACUCUUUUGGCACCGAGCUAUCUUGUUUUCAGUAUAACCUAAUUUCUUAACCAACAACCAAUGAGCUCAUUGUCCAUGACAAUAAUUUUGCAGUUGAAUUUAUUAGUGAUGGCAUACCUAGUGAUGACUUAUAUAAGAGUUUUCAGGUGAAUUUAUUAGGGCAUGUCAUACUACAAAUACAUGCAGAUAAUCUAAUUCAUGACUGGUUCAAUCUGUAACAGUUAGACAGUAUCCUGCCUGAUACAGAGAUACCAUGAGACUUAACCCCCAACUUACUACAUUAAUCCGGUGUAUUUGUGGGCCUUGUGCCUUGAAGCGUUUAAGCAGAUGUUUAUAUUGGGUUAAUGAUGGGCAACUUUUUUUAUUUAUAGAUAUUAUGAAUGCCUUGGAACUUAGUGUUUAUUGCUGCUAUCAAUCACAUCCCUCGCAGAUAGAUUUGUAUUACGAUGUAUUUACAAUAUAAAUAAAAAAAAAAAAACAUAACUUGGAAGAUGUUACAAUACAAUUUUUGAGUUUACUUAACGCAUCUCCUAUUCCUCUGUAAUAGUUACUCAAGUACACAGGACUCUUUCAGUUGUAGCAUUGGAAGUGAUCGUCAGCAUGGAGGAAGUAGUCGCAGUUAUCUGUUGGCUGCUCUCAACUCCGCAAAGCAGAAAGCAGCUGGACUCGGAUGGUCCCAACCUGUUGCAACAGCAAAAUGCCCGAAGAAUUAAUGAUGCAGCAUCAUGUGUUACUCCACAAGCAUAUUUAAGAAGAUCACACUAACAUGAUAUUUUAUGUCAAUCAUGCUCCCCCCCCCCCCCAAAAAAAAAAAGUUGACCUGAUUACUUUUGAAUUGAGAUAAGGAUAUUGAUCUUGAAACUUACAUGUUGAAGCGUCAGCACCAGCUGCUGUUGACACAACCAACCAAUAGGAAAUGCAUGGCAAGUUAAAGAUGUCAAGAUAAUAAGGUUUUUUAACAAUGUCAUCAACAGAUAUGAAUACCUUCUGAAUCACAAUAAAAAAAGAUGCAAGAUUGCCCUUAACAGAUUGAAUUAUUUGUAAAACACAAAUAUUCAUAUUUUAUAAGAUUCUACCAUAUUAUUCAGUGAAGGCUCAGCUUCUCUAUGACUGACGACAAGAAUUUAUGGUUGCAGUUAAUAAUCUAAGCCUAUUGUUUGACAUCAUAAGCCUUUUUGGACUGCAUCAAUUACUGCAGUGGCAAUUUCAUUACUGUCAAGCUUUCUUCCUGGUACCAUUGUACCAAUGUUCUGCUCAUUUAUCUGGAAAUCAUUAGCCAUUUCUUGUCCACCAACAAAAUAUGAAUCCCCAUUCAAAAUAACUAUAUCAAAUAAGUAAUCAAAAUCAGUAAGAUAUUGAAGAUUACAAACAAUAUUUGAACAUCUCCUGUGUAAAGCAUCAUUGGACUUGUUCUAUAUAUUUCCAUAUAUUCGUAUGUAAAGUAGCACGAAUUUGUAAUAUACAAGGCCUGAAUGAUUAUAUUCUGGGAGAGUUGCACCUGUACCAAGUUUUCCUUCUAUGAUUGACGGGCUUCCUGUAUAUACAAAGCAAUGAUUUGUUUUCCUUCUAUGAUACUCGUUGGACACUUCCUACUAAAGCUAUAUAAAUUGAUGUUUUCUAAACCCCAAAUAAAGCUUCAUAUAAAACCAAUAGUAACAACUAUAGAGCAACCUAGUUAUAUUCUAAUGUUAAUUUCUUAGUUCACUUUCGAAGAGCACUAUAGAAAGCCUGUCAUCAUUCUUCUGAGAACCAUGCAGACUUAUGGGAGGUGAUUGUUUCUUUUCUUUUGUAUCAAGUCAAAAACUCUUCUAGUGAAGGUAUAAUAGUCACUUGGCUUUCAAGUUCCUAACAAUUUUAAGAUGGUAUAAGAUGCACUCCAGCUUUCAUCAAUGAGGUGGGUAUGAUGAGCAAUAUCAACAUCCCUAAAUGUGUUUCUUUAUCAACAAAUUUACACUAAAAGAAAACAUAUGAUGAAAAAACAUCAAAUCCUAGGUUCAUAACAAUUAUGACUAAAGAACAGUAACCAACUAAUACAAGAAAAGAAUAUCACUUUUAAAGAGACAAAAUUAUGAAAGCUAUCCACAAAGUCAGAUCAAUUGGCCAAAAGAGAAUUACGAAAAUAGAACUCACGAGAAAAAUAAAUAAAUCUUCGGACCAUCGGAAGUAGUUGAAGGUAAUUAGGCAUACCAUAUCCAUAUUCAGAACUAAUCAGACCUAAACCAAACCCAAAAAUUCAUCACCAAUAUGUAGCCAGAAUAGAAGCUUGUCCAUUUAAGUACAUGACCAAAUUAAAUGGCAUAUCUCAAUUUCCAUCUAAUGCAUGACACAGAAAGUAAAUCUAUGUAGUAUUAGGAAACCAAGCAAGUCAUCACAAGAUCUUGAUCAUUUUUUAGGCUAGUAAUUCAUUUAUUUAGUGUGGUUUACACUGAUUACCAGUCACUUGUCUUACCAGUGCAACAAGUCAAUUUCUUAGCAUAGUGGAUCUAAGUUAUCAGGAUAACAGAACUUAUCCAUAUGAAUUAAAAUCAUAAAAAGAUGCAAUAGAAACAUACCUGGUUCACUUUCUUUCGUUUUGCUUUUAUCCACUUUAAAAAUAGACGAAAUCCAAUUGAAUUUCUUUCCUUUUCACAUGAGAUUCCUUUCCUUUCUCAAAUAUCCGGAAUAUGUUAAAACCACCCUCUGUUCAAAAUAUGAAGAGAGCAACCAUUAUAUCUAUUCUCUGUCGAUUCAAGGUCAAAGUUAAUUAGUUAAACCCACACAUAGUACUUAAAAUCAUGAUUUUUCUUGCUGCAUCGUGCCCCUUGCCAGUGGAAAACUGGCUUAAUAUGAGCCACAACAUGGGGAUUGUACCUGAAACAUAUAUGUAAGAACAUCCUAGAAUAUCUAUAUAUGAUAGGAGAGGUAAACUAUCGUUGCCACAAAGAAGAAUGGCCACCAUGGGCUACCUAUUCUAGAAACAUCUGUUUUUUAUAUGCUUUACUACAUAAAUACAGAGGCCAAAUUAACAUACCUGUUGGAAUGAAAAAGCUGAAACAUGAUAAACAUCUGAAUACAUCUGGUUCUGGUGCAUCAGCAAGAUUUGUCAUUUCAUCAGCAUCAUAUUGUUGUUCUUCAUUCACUUUCUUUGAUGGCAUAUCAUGCUGAAUUUCUCUAACUGACCAUUUCCUUUUUUGUAAAAUCACUCUUUUUGUGAUGCAUGAGUUACAAUUAGGACAGCACAAAUCAUGUGUAUCCUGUUCCUCUAAUAUCCUCUCAAGAUCAAACUCUAUCACCUUCAAUAGACUCUUUUUUGGUACCAUACUCUGUUCAUGUACUGCUCUUUUGUCUUCACUUUCAGUAAUUUCACUGCCAUGUUUUGUCAAUUGAGGUUUAAAUUCUGAUCUUCCAUUUGCAGCUUCUUGACAAGUAGCAAUCUGAUCGUCCUUUUUGGGCUUCAUUUCACCAAUUUCAUCUGUCGAUAGGAGAUUAUUGCAUCACUGUGAAUCUAAGAAAAGCAACUUCCUAUUAGUCCUGUCGCAUGCACAAGAAAGUAACCUAAUUAUCACAUCAAGGGCUGAGAACAAAUUAUCACACAAUAAAUGUAAAGACCAUGAAGACAAAGUCAAACCAAACCUCAUUAUGAAAGAAUUGCAUUCGUCCUCUUGUAGGAACUCAUCAGAUGAGGAAACAAACAAGUAAAGCUCACGAGGGAUCCAAGUGGACCAACUCGCCCUUCCCCCAGACGCUAAGCACAGAACCAUUCCGAAGAGAUUCGCGAUCUAAGAACUGAAUUCCUAACAAUGAAAUGAAAGGCCGACCAAACUCUGACGCGUCAACCUGAAUCCGACGCCACAGCAUCAAGAACAAAGGGUUCAAGAAGAGAGAAGCAAAAAGGCAUCUGGUUGACGCGAGGAAGCGAAACCCAUAUACAAUUCGUUCGUCCAUGGAGAUCUAAAAGACCAAGGAACUCAAUAAACCCUGCCGCCAAUAUCAAGAUCAGAGGGUUCAAGAAGAGAUAAUAACCUAGGCAUCUUGCUGACAUGAUGAAGCAAAAACGAUACACAAACCAUUCUUCCAUGUCGAUCUAAGAGAGCAAGAAACAGACCUACCGCCAAGAUUCAGUGUUCUUUACCCAUCACAACAAGAAAUCCGAUCCAAGAAAUGAAGUAAGAUGAUAGACGGAAAGCUUCGGCAACAGAGCAGAAAACCACGCGAUCGCUUGUAUCUUCUAAUUCCCGUUCCCGUAAACGAUCCCAGAUUCUUUCUGGGAAAACAAACGGAUUCUUUCUGUUCUCAGACGUCGUAAAGGGCACCAGCAAAGACACGAAUGGCGCCGGGGGGGAGGAAAUGCUCCUCGUACAAAUCAACAAAAGAACACGAGCAUCAUCGUCAUUUCACAAUGUUUCUUGUUUCUUGGUUUAAGGUGGCGACAGAAACGAAUGGGACGGCCACCAAGAAGAAACCACACAAACCUUGGUCCGCGUCGUAAUAGACGCUCCUCUGCUCCGCUUCCUCGCCGCUGCCUUCUUCCUCCGUCUCCGGCGAUGCUCCACCGGGAGUUUCCACUGCGCUGGCGCUCCUCCUCGGGCGCCGCCUUGCUUCCACCAGCCCACCGCUCUCCUCCAACACCUCCCCGUCACCAUCUCCAUGUCUCUUCUCCAACCUCCUCUGACUCCAAGAAAGAAACCAAACCCACACCUCUCUUUCUCUCUCUCUCUCUCACAUUUUGAAAGCUCGCCUGCUGCCUUUUAAUUCCCGCCAUUCCAUCCGUCGGUCAAAGAAUCGACCUGUUUUUUGUGACUUCAGGUAAGUAUAAUAAAAGCGCUACUAAGUUCUAAAUUAUGAUAUCUGACUUGAUUCAAAUUGUAGUUUCUUUUUGUUAUUUAUUGCAGCAAUGAAAUGAUCAACAACAAAUUCAUAUAUAUAUAUCUAAGAAAAUCUUGACAAUCAUGUCAAUCCAUCUUGCUUUCAAAAUUAAUAAUUCAAAUUGCAAUAUUAUCCCAGGUGAUUCUCUUAUUAUUUUGCUCCGGUCCGAAUAUCCAUCCUCAUAUGAUAAUUGGCAAUGGAAGAUAAAUACUUGAAAACAUAUUAUUUACAACCUCAUAUUAAGACUUUUAAAUAUUUUUAAAUUAUUUCUUUAUAUAUAUAUAUAUAUACCAUUAAUUUAUAACUUAUUUUCAAUAAAAUCUUUUUAUUCUUUAUCUAUAACAUUUUUUUCUUCAUAUAUAUAUUUUUUCUCCUCUUCUUUGCCAGAAGUGAUAUAAAAUUACAAAAAAAAAGAUGAUUAAAUCAAACAAACCAAAUAACGAAAAGAAGGAAAUAAAAAUAAUAAUUUUUAUAUUUAUUACAAUGAUAAAUAUUUUUAAGAUCGUACAUUCUAAAAUAGUCAAGUAAAUACUAUCUUCUAGGCCAAUUUUAUUAACCUAGAAGAUGUUAUGUUUCAAACCUUUACAAAAUAAGUGCAUGAGUGAUGAAGAGAGUCAACAGUAAUAGGAUAGGAUCCACAGGCAAAAAUUAUGAGGAAAAAAAAGUAAAAAUAGAACUACAAUGAUUGUGAAUAGUAUAAUAAUAUUUUAUUAAUUUUUUAUAAAGAUUAUAAAGAGUAAGAGGAUUAGAAUAAUAAGAUGGGGAAUCUAAAUAGUAUUUAGAGCUCCUUGACAAUGUUGGGAACAGUACGAAGAAUUCGGCGUCCGUGAUCGGUUGGCCCUCACACAAACGUUCGCAAACCCAAACUUUGGCCCAUUAUACUCGUCUACGAUUCGUUUGCACUAUUCAUUCGUCCCAACCAAAUAUGUAAUUAUAGCGAUAGAAAAGACCAAUUAUGUAGUUACUGUCAAUUGCAUCAUCACUCAAGACUAUGAAAUCAUAGUAAAGCUAAAACAAAGAAAAAAAAUCUCACUUGGACAGCAGCAGCGAGUGCACAGCGAUUUUGAACGACCAGAUCGGCAUCAUCCCAAGUCUUGAGUAAUUUUUGAGUACAACAUCCCCGAAAUCCAACUGGAUAAGAAUAAAGCAUAUAUUAUCAUCUAGAACAGGUGUACUGAAUGAUCAUACCUUCACGUCUAUCAGUAGCAGGGUUCCAUCAUCAAUAAGAUGUCCAUGAUGGUUCUCUUAAGUCUUGACACAUAAGAGUGGGAGGUGACUGAAGAGUUGUCCCAUGAUCAAACAAACCAAGCUUCUCAAGUAACUUGUCGAUCAUCAUCCCAGCCAGAUAGGAAGGACCACAUGCUGAUACACCAAGAACUAGGUAGUAGACCAUGGUUUUUACGUAGCCUUUUUGUGGUUUAACAUGGGCCUUACAUAAGGCCAGCAAAGCUGUGCAUAGAAGAGAUGAUGCAGCAACAGCCAUGAGCUUGAAUUCCUUCUCGUCGCUCCUCCUAAAUGAGAAACCAUAAACAACAGGAGGGACUAAGCCAAAUAAAAUGUAUGAUAUUGUAGCAACAGGAAAGUGCCGGCGGAAAUUUGCUCUCCACCCAAGCAGUUCCCAGUAACGUCCACCUUGUUCAUCUUUCUGUUCAGUAGCUUCAUCUUGUGCAGUUCUAAGCUCAAAAAGCUGUGACGAAAAAAUGCCCAAAGUAAGAAUUGAGAAUGCUUGCUUGAACUAUAUUAGCUGCUAUCCAAAAGCCACACAGAGAGGUUCAUCAUUGAAGUUUCAUGCAAUAAACUUUUAACCUAAAAUUUGUGCUUAUGUGCAAAAGAGACUUAAAAGACACACUGGCUAGACAAAAUAAAUCAUUUAAAAUUAGUGGUGUGAGUACUGAUGGAGGAAGACCUAAAAGACUUUAUUCAUGAUACUUUUUGCUUCUCUUGCUUUGACUGGUGAUAUUGGCCUCACUAAUACUUGGGACAUUAUAGCCUCUUACUAGUUGUUAUAUUUGCUGUCCUACAUGAAUUUAUGUUGUUUAUCGAUCCAAAGAGCCCAUGCUAGGAGAUUACAAGGGAAAUUGCAAGUAUAGAAGAUACACUCAUAAUUUAUCAAUAGGAUGGGAGCAAUCUAUCUGCUUUACUUGCAAAACACUCGGAUAAAACAUGUCAGAAAUCCCUCUAGCACCCAUCCCUUUGGAAAAUUACGAGUCUAUCAAGAAUAAAAUCUGAGUUUUAUACUAUUUCAGGGAAAUGUAUGUUAAUAUUGGAAACAUAAUGAAAACUUGACUUUGACUAAAGCACAAUGUUGUUCAAGUAAUAAUGCCAUACAAAGAAGCAAAAUGUGUGCCAUUGAAGCCAUUGGCUUAUAUUUCCAAUAUUAACAUACAUUGAAGCCAUUGAAGCCAUUGGCCAUUGGCCAUUGAAGCCAUUGAAGCCAUUGGCCAUUGAAGCAAAAUGUGUGCCAUUGAAGCCAUUGGCCAUUAGCUGGAAAAAAAAAGAUGCCUAACAAAAAAUAGCCAUACUUGGAACUCUCCACAUAUUUAUAUGAUUCUUGCAACUACUCCAUGAGAACACCAGGACAACUCUCAUUUUAUGGCUUUUUGAUUAUCAAUUGAUCAUAGUUCCUGAGAUUAAAUUCUCCUUCAUAUAUCGGCAUUCUAACUGUUGUUGUCAGGCUAAAAACAACUUGGAUAGAUCUUUUCCAUCACAUAAAUUCACGAACAGUAGAAGCCUUAAACAGGUCAGUUUCCUUGAAAUAUGAAAAAUACUUUUAUCUUUGAAAGAAGAGGCAAAGACAAAAAAAGUAUCAUCUAAGAAAUCAACUUACUUCAUGGGUAAUUAAAAGAAAUCCGCCAAUCAAUUUUGCCAACCCUAAUGCAACAAUUUUCACUGCAAAAGAAAGUAAUAAUUACAAUAAAGUGUAGAGAAUAAUGAACCUUUGCCUCCGGGAAAAUAAAGGUAAGGAAAAGAAAACCAAGAGUGUCAUCAACAUAAUGCUAGUGUUUUUCCAAAAUUGAGUAGAAAAUUAUAACGAAUGGUCGGUUAGCAAUUUCAUUUAUCUACCUAAUUCUUUCCAGACUAAGGAGACCUACAUUCUUUAUCAUGGAAGUAAAAACAAUUAUUUUAGCAGUGUAUGAAUUUAGUUAACACUACAAUGUGGGAUGAAUGUGCAACAUAACAUAGCAAAACUAUGCAAUGUAUUACUAAAUAAAAUUUUCUAAAAUUACCAAUCUAAUUACUUAAUUGAACAACACAAUAAUAGAUAGUUGUGAACUUACCACCAAGAUCUCAUCCCACCAGAGUUAACUCAUUUUUAAGUCCACCUAUGUGUACCAAAGAAUUAAUGAUGUGCAUCCUAUGUUACUCCAUAAGCAUAUUUAAGAAUAUGACACUUGAUGUCAAUCAUGCUCCCCCCACCACGGCCCCCCCCCCGAAAAAAAAAGGUCGACCUAAUUACUCUUGAAACUGAGAUAAGGAUAUUGAUCUUGAAACUUACAUGUUGAAACGUCAGCACCAGCUGCUGAUGACACAACAGCCAGGCUAGUAAUUGAUUCAUUCAGACCUCCAUAUACAAUGCUUUUUAGUAUAUCCCAGUCAUUGCUUAUUUCAGUAUCUCUGGCAGUUUGCUCUGCUACAUUAAUCCGAACAUCUGAAUGUGCCAACACUUCCGUAGUACUUGUUUCUGAACCUUGAAUUAUUUGGUCACUUUGAGAAGUUAUUUUAUUAGCAUCAACUCCUGCACGAACAAAAACAAAAGCAUAGAGAUGCUGUCACUUCGAACAACUUCAGAUAAAGUUCAAAGCAAAUAAGGACAUAGUCGGUCAUCAUAAGUGUUGUAUAUGCGCUUAAGCUACACUCAGAUAAUUGUUUUCACAAUUUAGCAUUUUACUCUUCAUAAUUUUCAGGUUAUCAAAGAAAUUUACCUGAGUCAUCUUUCAUUCUGACAUCAUUAUCAUUAACUCCAUCGUCAAUUAACUCUUUGAUCUGUUUCAUAGCAUCCGAAGUGGAUAUGGUCUGAGUGGAAGGAUCCUGUAGUUCUGGCUGAUCCUCCGUCUGUUCUUUGUAACUAACACUAGAAGGUCCACUAAGCCUGUAAUUGCUUAUUUCAGUAUCUCUGGCAGUUUGCUCUGCUACAUUAAUCGCAACAUCAGAAUGCGUCAACACUUCAGUAGCAUUUGUUUCUGAAUCUUGAAUUAUCUGUUCAUUUUGGAAAGUUAUUUCAGAAGCAUCAACUCCUGCAUGAACACAGACAAAUGCAUAGAGAGCUGUCACUUCAGACAAUUUCAGAUAGAUAAAAGUACAAAGCAAAUAAUGACAUAGUAGGCCUCGUAAGGGUUGUAUAUGCUAGCUUAAGGUGCACUCAGAUAAUUGUUUUCACAAUUUAGCCUUCUACAACUCAUAAAUUUCAGGUCACUAAAGAAAUUUACCAGAAUCGUCCAUCAUUCUGAGUCUGACAUCAUUUUCUUUAACUCCAGCAUCAAUUGACUCUUUGAUCUGAAACAUAGCUCCUAAAGUGGUUAUGGUCUGAGCAGGAUCAUGUAGUUCGGACUGAUCCUCCAUGUGUCCUUUGAAACUAACGCUAGAAGGUCCACUAAGCCUGUCAUUGCUUAUUUCAGUAUCUCUGGCAGUUUGCUCUAAUACAUUAAUUCGAACAUCCGAAUGUGCCAAAACUUCAGUAGUAGUUGCUUCUGAACUUUGAAUUAUCUGGUCACUUUGAGAAGUUAUUUUAGUAGCAUCAACUCCUGCAUGAACAGACGAAAGCAUAGCAAAGAUGUCACUUCAGACAAUUUCAGAGAUAUAUAGUUCAAAGCAAGUAAGGACAUAGUAUGUCAUCUGUCAUCACAAGUGUAUAUGCUGAGCUUCAGCUACACUCAGAUAAUUGUUUUCACAAUUUAGCCUUCUAGCAUUCAUAAUUUUCAGGUCAUAAAGAAAUUUACCUGAAUCAUCUCUCAUUCUACCAUCAUUAUCUUUAACUCCAGCAUAAAUUAACUCUUUGGUCUGAAUCAUAGCUUCUGAAGUGGAUAUGGUCUGAGUGACAGAAUCAUGUAGUUCAGGUUGAUCAUCCAUCUGUUCUUCAAAGCUAACACCAGGUGGUCCACUAAACCUGUCAUCGCUUAUUUCAGAAUCUCUGGUAGUUUGCUCUGUCGCAUUAAUCCGAACAUCUGAAUGUGCCAAAGCUUCAGUAGCACUUGCUUCUGAACCUCGAAUUAUCCGGUCAAUUUGAGAAGUUAUUUCAGUAGUAGCAUCAACUCAUGAAUGAACAAAGACAAAAGCAUAGAGAAGCUGUCACAUCGGACAAUUUCAGAUAGAUAAAGUCCAAAGAAAAUAAAUGAAAUAGUAUGUCAUCAUAAGUGUUGUAUAUGCUAGCUUAAGCUACACUUGGAUAAUUGUUUUCACAAUUUAUCCUUUUACCAUUCAUAAUUUUCUGGUCAUUAAAGAAAUUUACCUGGAUCGUCCCUUACAGUGAUUUAAAAAGGUGCUCGGGCGAGGCGAGGCGAGGCCCGAGCGCCUCGCUUCAUUUCCAGGCGACGCGCUUCAAAGAGAUGCCGCAUGGGCGCUCGCCCGAGCCCAGGCGUCGGGCGAGUGCCUGGGUUAAACCAGGUGACCGAACCAACGUUUGAGGUAUGGUGACUUCCCCAAUAUCAGCGUGACUUCCCCAACCCUAACCCUGCUCGCCGUUCACGCUACUGCUGUCGUUGCUGCAGUUGCCGCUCUCGCUGCCGCUGCUCGCUGCUACCGUUGCCGCUGCUAGUUGCUAUCGCUACCGCUCCCACUACCACUGCUACUGCUGCCACGGUCUUCGCUCGCCGCUCCCGCUGCUGUUGCCGUUGCUUGCUGCUACCGUUGCCACUGUCUCCACUCGUCGCUUCCGCUGCUCGCUGCUACCGGUGCCACUGUCACCGCUUGCCGCUCCCGCUAUCGCUGCUGCCGCUGCCACUAUCAUCGCUCGCAGCUGCCGCUCUCGCUCUUCUCAGUCAACAUCCUCGGUCUUCCGACUCUUCCCUUAUACUCUUCUCCUCUUUCGAUAGUAUAUUGUUAACGGUAUACUGUAUACUAGCAAUAGUAUUUGUAUUUAUUAGAUUAAUUUAAUAGCAUAUUUUUAUUUAAAAAUUUAAAUAAUUAUAUUUAUUAAUUAUAUUAUAUAUUUUUAUAUUUUAGCGCCUCACUUCGCUCAGGCGAGCGCCUAGCGCCUCGGGCGUUUUUGGACCUUAGCACCUUUUGGUGCCUAGAGCUUUUUAAAUCACUGAUCCCUUAUUCUGACAUCUUUUACUCCAACAUAAAUUCACUUUUUGGUCUGAACCAUAGCUCCUGAAGUGGAUGUGAUCUGAGUGGCAGGAUCAUGUAGUUUGGAUCGAUCCUCCAUCUGUUCUUUGAAACUAACACUAGACGGUCCACUAAACAUCUUAUCUAGAAUCAUUCAAAAUAUUAGCAUUUUGGAUAACAAAUUUGCAUCAUAUACAAAUUAAAUAUGAUUGUGGUCAAAUAAGUUAUCCAGCUGAAGAAAAGUACACGGACAAGUUCAGAUACUUGGAUAAAAUCAUCAUAUGCACAUAAGUGACAAAAUAUUUCUACAACUGCUGAAGAAGCAAGCAAAGGUUAUGCAUAGGAAGAUAAAAUUUUAUUGCUAAUUACUUAAGUUGACAUAAAUGUCAAUUAUUUGCUGGUCAUGAGAAAAUAUAAGGUAAUGCAUAGCACAAAGAUGAACAGGUAAAAAGAAUAUUAAGAAGAAAUACACUGUGUUACUAACUACAUUUUAAGUUACUGAGAAAUCUACCAAAACAAACAGAAAACAAAGAUGUGAGUAUUGACCAUGACUAGCUCAGCAAAUUUCCAUCAAUUACAACAAAUUUGAGAAACUCCAAACAUUUUUCAACGAUGAGCUCCUAAAUUUACAAUUCCACAUGUUUCAAUAUAGUCAUAGAACCCAAUUAUAAUAGACAAGAAAAUAUUAUUAUGGACUAAAGAAUAGGUGCAGAAGCAAAGAGCCAAAGAGAUGCAUCACAGUCUUCUAACUAACAAAAAAUGGACUUAAGGCAUUUUAAUCACAUCAUCCAUCCGUGUUUAGAUAUUUCACAUCCUUAUAUAAGUGCACGAGUAAAACCCUAAAAAACAAUUAGAAUUACAAAUGCAGAAUUAGGAUCCUUUCCAGUUGGUAUGGUGCAGUUCAUCCCCAACACAGCUAUCCAUUCACCCUUCAGCCAUUCAUGGGUAUGCCCCACAUGGCAGGAUGGGCUCCAUCCAUCCUGUCACAUCUAAGGGCUAAUAGAAAUGAAUCGUUAAGAUGAGAUAAUGGCUGGAAAAUUGGAAAAAUAGUCUAUACAAAUUGGAUCCGUAAAAAAUUAGAGAGGACAACUCUACAAGUCCCUGACAAUUAAGUUGAGUUUAGUACUUCACUUUUAUUUAAAAAAUGAAUAAAAAAUCAUAAAUGUGACAUAUAGAAAAACAAAUGUUAACCAGAUGAGAUAUCGCCUUAAACAUCAAUCAGGAGAACAGGAAAUGCAUGCUAAGUUAAAGAUGGCAAGAUAAUAAGCUUUUCUUUUUACAAUGUCAUCAAGAGAUAUGAAUCGUCAGGCAUUAAUUUGUGAAUCUCAAUAACUGAAGAUGCAAGAUGUAGUUUAUAGAUUGAAUUAUUUGCAAAGCUCAAAUAUUCAUAUUUUAUAAUAUUCUACCAUAUAUAAUUUUUUACCAUUCUACCAUAUUACUCAGUGAAGGCUCAGCUUUUAUGACUGACUACAAAAAUUGAAGGUUGCAGUUACACGAUUACAAGAAUUGAAGCCGCAGUUAUACUCUAAGCUUGUUGCUUGAUAUCAUAUAAAUAAAAUGUCUUGAAGCAUGUCAACAGCUAUAAGUCCAUGUACCCCUUUUUUUAUGCCUAAAUCUCUUUGGAGUACAAUAUCAUAUCUGCAUCAAUUACUGCAGUGGCAAUUCCAUGAUUGUCAAGUUUUCUUCCUGGUACAGUUGUACCAAUGUUUUGCUUGUUUAUCUGGAAAUCAUUAUUUUAUGAAUUCCCACUCAAAAUAACUAUUGUAAGUAAUCAGGAUCAAUAAGAUAUUGAAGAUUACAAAGUACAAACAAUGUUUUUACACACUUAAAGAUAUAUAUAAUAUUUUCUAUAUUUUCAUAUGUGAAGCAUCACUGGAUUUGUUUUAUAAUAUUUUCCAUAUAUUCAUACCAAGCAGCACUGAAUUUGUUUAUAUACAAGAUCUGAAUGGUUAUUUUUCUAGGAGAGUUGCACUAGUCUCAAGUUUCUGCACUUCCCAGUGAGGAUGAUGUUUCCCUGAUUUGUUUUCCUUCGACAGUGGUUGGGCCUCCUGUGUAUACAAAGAAAUGCAUAUAGACACUUACUUUAAGUCAUAAUCUUUCACAUUUAACUGAUUAUAGAGCCAUUUAGGAAGAUAUAUAAUAUUGGCAGGGAUAUGGAAGAAGCUGCAAACUGUUGGUUGCCACUAGUGAAAGAUUGUUGUGAUGUAAUAACAUGCAAGACACACUAGCAGGCAACUAGUGAAAUUGUCUUUUUUUCUAAUAUUAUUCAGUGCAUAUAUAAGUGAUGACAUUAGUGCUGAUUAUAAGUAUUCAAAAAAUUAAUUACUUGUAGGCAUCAUUUUCUCCUUUUAUAAGUUGAUUUAAUACAAACAGAAUAAGUGGUUCUCUAUUUAACAAAGGCAACAUGAAUUGAUAAUGUCCAUGGAAGUUUCUGGGUGAAUUCUUAGCUCGCUGGAAACCAUGCAGGUGCAACAUAAUUCAAAACAUAUAAAUUCAACAGUAAUUUCAUACGAAAAAGUACUAGGAAACAUAAAAACUAAAAGAUUCUUGAUUCUUGUUGUAUCCAUGACAUAUCCAUGUAAGAUAUUGAUAUUCAUUGGACACUUCCUAGCACAAUGACAGGCAUUUAAGACAUUACAAAACAUGUAUUAAAAAAACAUAUCUACACUAGAAACUAUAUACAUAUAUGUAUAUGUAUACAUAUAUAUAUAUAUAUAAAUAUAUAUAAAUAUAUAUGUGCAGGGUUCUCAAUUUCGAUGUGUACUGCCUAGUACGGGUAGUACAUACCAGUCCAAGAGGAUAUCGGUACCAAGACGUAUAGACCGGUACCACCCUGGAUUUCGAUCGUUACUGAGGUGUACCGAUCAAUAUGCCUUGGCAUGAUAGAUGAAAAUAUUUUUAAGAUUUUAAGGUGUACCGUUGGUACAAACCGAUAUCCAAAACUUUGUUUUCCAGGGAAAUCGCUCUUGUCUAUUCACUAUACUUUUUUUUUACCUGGACAUUUGUUCUGCCUUCCCUGCUUAUUGUAAAAUGUUAUAGCAACUAUUAUUAAUUAUAUGGGUCAUUUUUUGGGUCCUAAACAUAGAGAAUCAUCAUAUUUAUGGAAAUGUGUGGAAACAAUUGAGGCUGGUUUAUAAUUUCAGUAAAGUUCCUUCUUGCAGUUACCUAAUGCACGCAAGUUACGCAAGUUAGGCUGUUAUGAGCUUUUUUUAUAGAAAUAUCAUGAUUUCAUGUAUAAUAUGCAAUCUAUGUCUUUUCUAUUUACUCAAACUGUACAGACAGCAUACUCAUUUAAGUGGAUCUGCCUUUGUAUUGAUUUAUAUGUUUUUCUUAUGCUGCAUUGUAAAGGUUUCAAUACUAUAAGUUAUCAAUACUGUAAGGAAUGAUAUGGUACUUCCUGCCUUUUCUAGGAAUGGUCCUUCGGCAUUGAGAUCCAAAUUUCCCUUAGCUCAAAUUCUCACCUUAGAAAUUGGAAUGAGUCAUGAAUAAAAUACUAUCUUACCUAUUAUCCAAGAUAUGGUUUUAACAUUGCAAUUUGAUCAUUAUUAAUAAUUGUAAUUUGAGAAGUACCAAAUCUUCCUUUUUUUUGGUACAAUCGCAGCUGGUCAUGUUCUUUUCUGUCCCCUUGGUGAUCUUGAUAUUUAUCGUUGACAGUGUUCUGUUAGGGUGUGUGUACUACUAUAUCAGCUAUCUUCAUUCGUUUUCUAUGAUGAACCUACUUAUGUUGAUGAUGUAUUCAUAGAUAAAUCAAAAUUUUGAAAUGUUCUUUCUGCUAUAUCGACCAAGAUGUUGUGAUCAGUAAUUUAGAUUGUUGCCUAGAGUUGUACAAAUUACUGCAAUAAUCAUCAAUAUGCAGCUAGACUUGCUAGUGAAACAAUUAAAGGUUUCAGAAUUACCAAGUCUAAAAGAAUAUAAAGUUUUUAUUAACAAAUAAAUAAAUAAAUACUUAUCGGUAUUGAUCUAUAAGGUCCAGAAUUGGUCCUUAGUCAGACUGGUAAUACUGGAGGUCUGUAAAUCCAUCUCUGAUAGUAUUAUGGACCUUUAAAAUUAAUUUGUUAUUCAACCUCUAAUUCAAAAACUCAUGUAAAAAGAACUAUAAAUGGAUAUAGAUAAAUUAAUAAGCUUUAUUGUGAGCAAAGUUUGAUGUACCGAAGCAUACCGCUUGAUACGAGUGGUACAUACUGGUCCAAUAGAGGACCGGCAUAGGCAGUAUAUUAGUACACCCUAGUAUACCAUGUGUCGAUAUGCUCGAUAUGUACCAUACUAACAACCGAUCAGUAUACCGAUACAAACCGGUAAUGCGAACCAUGUUUAUAUGUAUGUAUAUAUACAUAUAUAUAUACAUAUGUAUAUGUACAUACAUAUAUGUGAACCGAGUAUUGACAAUAAGAAUAUUAUCCUUAAUGUUUCAUAUAAGUGAUUGAAGUGUUUCUAUGAAUAUUGUUCAGGGAAAGCAUUUUUUUUAAUACUGUUAGUAUGUUGCUCAUGCAAAUGAUUAUUAUGCAUCUCAUGAAUUGCACAUAUGAUGAUCAUAUAUUGUAUAAAUUGUUCAAAUUUUAUCUCCAUAUAUGUAAUACUAGAAAAAAUGACACAUUUAUUUAAUUUCCAUAUCCAUGUUAUGCUUUUGUUUUAUUAAAUUAGUUAUCCCUACAGCCCCACUACUUAAGGAGAUAAGGCCACAUAAGUUGAUCUUUCCCAAUUCCCAUAUAAGGCUGCAUAUAAAAUUAAUAGUAAUGACUAUAGACCAACCUAGUUAUAUUCCAAUAUUAAUUUCUUAGUUCACUUUAGAAUAACAAACCUAUCAUUCUUUUGAGAAAUGAUUUGAGACUUUAAAAACUUCAAAGCACUAUGCAGCAGGGUCUGCCGUACCGAACCAUAUCACCCGGUACGGGCGGUACGUACCAGUCCGACAGGUUGUCGGUACGCGGACCGUCUGUUACCGGUCCGAGUGCACUGUAGCACUGUAGUGCUGCUACAGUACUCGGCACACCUGGGUAUACCGCUCGGUAUACCGUACCGUACCGGUACCGAGUCCGGAUCGAAAUACCGGUACGGUACGGUAUUACGAACCUUGCUAUGCAGAGUUAUGGGAGGUGAUUCUUUCUUCUCCUUUGUAUGAAGUCAUCGACUCUUCUAACGGUGGUAAAAGAUUCACUGGGCUUUAAAGCUCCUAACAACCUUAGAAUGGCAUAAGAUUCACUCCAGCUUUCAUCAAUAAUGGGUAUGAUGAGUAAUGUCCACAUCCCCAGUUGUGUUUUUUUAUCAACAAAUUUACAGUAAACGAAUAUAUGAUGAAAGAACAUCAAAUCCUAGCUUCAUAACAAUUGACUAAAGAACAGUAACUAACUAAUACAGGAAAAUAAUAUAAUCUUAAAGAGACAAAACUGUGAAAGCUAUCCACAGAGUCAGAUCAAUUGACCAAAAGGGAAUUACAAAAUUAGAAUUUGCAAGAACAAGAAAUAUCUUUUGGGACCAUCAGAAGUAGUUGAAGGUAAUUAGGCAAACCAUAUCCAUGUUUCAGAACUAAUGAGAGAUCUAAACCCAACUCAGAAAUUCAUCAAGAAUAUGUAGCCAGAAUGAAAGAAGUUUGUUCAUUUAAUAACAUGACCAAAUUAAAUGGCAUCUCAAUUUCCAUCUGACACAUAACACAAAAGGUAAAUUUAAAUGGAGGCAACCAAACAACUCAAGACAAGAUCUUAAUUAUCUUUGAGACUAAUAAUUCAUUUAUUUUGUGGGAUUUACACUAAUUGCCAGUCACAUGUUUUACCAAUGCAACAAGUUAAUUACUUAGCAUGAUAGAUCUAAGUUAUUAGGAUGAAUUUAGACCAAGUGUUCGCUCCAUAAAUCACAAAAAGAUGCAAUAGAAACACACCUGGUUCGCUUUCUUUCGUUUUGCUUCUAUCCACUUUAAAAAUAGAAGAAAUCCAAUUUAUCUUCUUCUCGGGCACUUGCUCUGAACUUUGCACAUGAGUAUCCUUUCCUUUCUCAAAUAUGUGAAAUAUGUUAAAACCACCCUCUGUUCAGAAUACAAAGAGAGCAACCAUUAUAUCCAUUUCCCAUCAAUUCAAGGUUGAAGCUAUUAAGUUAAAAGCAUGCAUAGUACUUAAAAGUUAAAACUUAAAACCAUGAUUUUCCUUGCUGCAUCAUGACCCUUGCCAGUGCAAAACUGACUUAGUAUGAGCCACAAUGUGAGGAUUGUGCCCAAAAAUGUAAGAACAUCGUAGAAUAUCUGUAUAUUACAGGAGUGGUAAUUUAUCACCAUCACAAAGCAAAAGGCCACUACAGGCUAUCUAUCCUAAGAACAUCUGAUUUUUAUACACUUUGUUAGAUACAUACAGAGGCAGAAUUAACAGGUGCAAACCUGUUGGACUGAAAAAGCUGACACGUGAUAAACACAUGAAUACAUCUGGUUCUGGUGGAUCAGUUAAAUUUGUCAACCUGAAACAAAUUCAGUAUCCAAAGCACCAUAUAGUUGUUAAUGCACUUUCUUUGAUGGCACAUCAUGUUGAAUUCCUCUAACUGACCAUUUCCUUUUGUGAUGCAUGAGUUACACCUAGGACAGUACAAAUCAUGUGUAUCUUGUUCCUCUAAUAUCCUCUCAUGAUCAAACUCUGUCACUUUCAGUUUACUAAUUUUUGUACCAUAAUAUGUUCAUGCACUGCUAUUUCAUCUUUGCUUUCAGUCAUUCGCCAUGUUUUCAUAAUAACAUUGUGAAUUUGACCCAUAUUCCAUCUUUGUAUCUAUUAAGACAUAAUUUGCUUUUUCAAGGUCCUUUUGAUCAUUUAUCAAAUGAGAUUUAAAAUCUGAUCUUCCAUUGGCAACUUCUUGAGAAUUAGCAAUCUGAUCAUCCUGUUUGGGGCUUCAUUCCACCAAUUUCAACUGUGACUGCAGCAUGGGCUGCCAUAUAUUGUACACUAAAUUUGUUAAUAUUGAUGUUACAAGUAACAGUAGCUAUAAGAUCAUAAAUCAAGGACUGCAGUUUUGGCUGGUUCAGCUCGCACCGACCGAUAUAUACCAGUUGGAGCCCAUACAGACACAGACCACCCCUAUUUUGGGCAAUCCAUUUCGGUCUAUUAAUGAAGAAAAAAAGAACUUAAAACUUGAAUUAGAGCUUGCAUUCUCUUCUCCAUACAUGCGGAGCUCCAUGAGCCACCAUCGUCAUCCUCCUGCCAUCCGCUGCCACUACCUCCCAGCCGGCCACCAACAUCAACCUUGGAUAUGCUUCCUCCUCUUCCUCCAUCACCUCUUCUUCUUUCUCUUCUACCUCCUUCAUCUUCUUCUUGUUCCUCCAUCACCCUCUUCUUCAUCUUCGUUCAUCGCCUCCACUUCCUCCUCUUUCUUCCUCUUCCUCUUUCCUCCUCCUCUUGUUUCUCCACUGCCUCCUCUUCCUCCACCACCUCCUCUUCUUCCUUCCUUUUCCUCCUCCUACCUCUUCCUUCUUCCUCCUCUUCCUCCACAGCCAUCUCUUCCUUCCUCUUCUUCUUCUUAUUCCUCUUUGAGUCUCUAAUACAUGCCGGUGUACCAUAUAUCGGCACCCAAUACUGGUUGGUAUGUGGUAUGUAUUGGUCCAAUCGGGGACCAGUAUAGUACCUUGGUACGAGAUUAUGAUCCUUAAAAUAAAUAACAAUAUAAAGAUUCACAAGAUGAAAAUUCUGGUUUCUAGUAAGUAGGAAAAAAACAAUGAUGAGAAGUUUCUUUUGGCAUUAAUGAGCAUCAAAAUGAUGAAUAUUCAACUUUUUGUCUUAUGAUAUUCAACAUUUUGCCUUAUGAUAGACACAGACUGCCUUUAUCUGCUUCUCUUAGACUUAAGAAGAUCAUGGACAUAGUAUUAUCUCCUUGCACUAAAUUCAUAUAAUAGAAAAUUAAUGUACCUUUAUUCAAUGAGACAAAAUGAUUCAAGCAGUCUUAGUGAUUUGACAUCCAUCAUCACUUGAUAGCUACCUUCAUGAUUCUAAAUAUGAUGUCUAUCAGGACCAACUAAUGGGAAGGUCCAAGUGCAGUGAGACACUUCCAUACUCCUUCAGCCAAAGAAAUAGAAAAGUACCCAUAUGCAAGGUUUGUUGUACCGAUGCGUACCGCCCGAUACGGGCGAUAUCUACCGGUCCGAUAAGAUACUGAUACGCAGAUUGUCGUCUACCGGACGGUACCGGUCACUUCACCUAAUAUCAAGCGAUAUAGGAUCUGUACCAGGCAGUAACGAUUGAAAUCCGACCAUUACCGACCUAUACCGGUCGAUACGCUCAGAUUUCGACCGUUAACGAUUAAUGGCUGAGACUACCCUAUUUCAAAUGGUCAAUUUAACCGUUUGAAGCUUAGAAUAGAUAUUUUAAACCCUUUCCUCCGUCCUCUUUCAACUCAUUUCACUCUCUCAAUCUCUUAAAUUCUCAUAAACUCUUUUUCACUCGCAUCUCUCUCUUAUUCUCACAUUUUCACUCUCCUAAACUCAACAAAGCAUACAGUAUAUCAAUACAUUGUCGUGGGAUCAAUUUUACGAUUGGGUCCGACAAACAUAUUAUAUUGAUAUAGAAAUACAUAGGAUCGAGGACCCCGAUCCACUGCCCGUGGAGUCUCGCCGUUCUUUUUUGUGGUAGAACUAGGUAUAUUCAUCGAUUAAUUACUUAAUUCAUUUGAAUUUUAAAAUUUAAGUUAUAUAAAAAAAUAAAUUAUAAAAUUUAAAUAAUUUCCUCGUAGAUAACUCAAUAUUAACAUAAAAAUGAUCUGGAACGAACCAUAAAGGUACUCCUCAAAGCUCAAAAAGAUAUAUAACAUUAUUCUUCCCUAAUUUAUAUUAGUUUUGCUAAAAUGAUACUAAAUUUAUAUUUAUUUCUAAUUUAAAAACCCUAAUCUAACUUUUUUCUAUUUUUAGAGGUUUUUUUAUGAUUUUGGGCGUAUCGUUGGUAUGCCCCAGCAUGCCGUCAGUACGCCUUGGUAUAUACCAUAUAGAGUAGGGCUCGGCACGUCAGUACGAACCGAAAUUUCAAUCCUUGCUCAUAUGUUCCUCAAUCACCAAAAGAGAACUACUCUAGAAUGAAAAAGAGAAAAGCGAGCAAUUGUAUGUUUCACACAGUGAUUUAAAAAGGCUCUCGGGCGAGGCGAGGCGAGGCGAGGCGAGGCGAGGCUCGAGCGCCUCGCUAAACUUCCAGGCGGCGCGCUUCAAAGAGGCACCGCCUGGGCGCUCGCCCGAGCCCAGGUGCUGGGCGCUUCGGGCGAGCGCCUGGGUUAAACCAGGUGACCGAACCAGGAUUUUAGGUCUGGUUCGGUCUCCGGUGGUUAGUUGGUUCAAUCGAACCAACUAAAACCGAUAUCUGCUGUCGCUGCCCAACUUUAACACUGCUCUUUGCCGCUGCCGCUCCCACUGCUCGCAACCGCUACCGCUGUCGCCGCUCCUGCUCCCACCGCCGCUACCGCUGCCUCCUUACACUCCCGCUGCCUCCUUACAUUCCCGCUCCCGCUGCCGCUGCCUCCUUACACUCCCGCUCCCGUUGUCGCUUCCUCUUUUCUCAAUCAGCAGACUCAGCACCCCCUUACACUCUUCCUUCUUCUCCUUCUGUAUACUGUUAAUAUUGUUAGGUUUAUUUGAAAUUAUUAAUUUUCAAUACUGUUAAUAGAUUAAUAAUAUAUUAUUUUGAUUUUAAUACUGUUAAUUUUUAUUUAUUUGAAAUUAUCAUUAGGUUUCAAGAUAAAUGUCAAGUGUACAGAGCAACUCAAUAGAGUCUCUAAUGGCAUCAAAAAAAGAUCCUGCAUAUAAGUAUAAUUAUCUGAAGGAUCCGAAAGAUCCUAAUGCAGUGACUUGCAUAUUCUGCGAUAAGACUACUAGAGGUGGUAUUUUUCGUGUAAAACAACAUCUAGUAGGAAAUUUCAAGAAUGCAACAGCUUGCAAAAAGUGUCCACCUGAUGUAAAAGAAGAGUUGCUAAGUUUUAUGAAUGAAAAGAAGAUACAAAAGAAUGAAUCUUACGGGAACCAGAAGAUAAUGUUGAACAUCUCAGGGAUGAAGAAGAAGAUUAUUCUAUGAGUAUUAACCCAAGUGGAAAAAAAGUAUAUGACAAAAAAGGAAAAAAAAUUAUGAGUACUAAGAAGGGUAAAAAAGGACCGAUGGAUCUAUAUAUGUUUCAAGGAUCCUAGAAACAACAAGGGCAAGCAGGAGGCUCAAAAUUUAGACAAAAAAAUAUAUGUGAUGCUUGUGAUAAAGAAAUAAGAGGAAGAACAAUUCAGCACAUUGCUCGCUUCUUCUAUCAGGCUGAUCUUCCCCUUAGUACAACUCGUUUAGACAGUUUUAAGGAUAUGAUUGAAGCUAUUGGAAGAUAUGGUGCAGGAUUAAAACCUCCAAGUUAUUAUGAGAUGCGAGUUCCAUUAUUGUAAAAUGAGUUGACUUAUACAAAUGACUUGCUAAAGGGUCAUAAAGAAUUACGAGCAACACAUGGUUGCUCUAUUAUGUCAGAUGUUUGGACUGACAGGAGGCGCAGGAGUAUAAUUAAUUUUAUGGUUAAUUGUUCUUUAGGGACUAUGUUUGUGAAGUCAAUAGAUACUUCAUCUUUUGUAAAAUUUGGAGACAAGGUAUAUGAUUUACUUGACAACUUCGUGGAAGAAAUUGGAGAACAAAAUGUCGUUCAAAUCAUAACCGACAAUAGAAGCAACUAUGUAUUAGUUGGUAAUAUUCAUCUUUUGAAUUUGUUAAUUAUUUUAUCUUCAAUUAAAUGUGUUAAACUCUUAAGUCUUAUCAUUUUUGUUAUCCUUUGUCUCAUGUAAAUUGCUUGAAACAAAAAGACAACACUUGUAUUGGACUUCAUGUGCAGCACAUUGUAUUGAUUUAAUGUUGGAGGAUAUUAGAAAGAUCUUAGACAUCAAGAAAACCUUAGAAAGGGUAAUUUUUAUUGUUGGAUUUCUUUAUAAUCAUAUUGGAGCUUUGAAUAUGAUGAGAGAAUUUAUAGGGAACAAAGAAUUAGUGAGAUAUGGUAUCACCCGAUUUGCAACUUCAUUCUUGACAUUAUAGAGCAUGCAUCGUCAAAAACAUAAUCUGAGAAACAUGUUUACCUCUAAGAAAUGGGUGACAAGCAAAUAAACAAAAGAAGCAAAAGGCAAGAGGGCUGCUAAUAUCAUCUUAAUGUCAUCCUUUUGGAAUCAUGUAGUUUAUAUAUUAAAGGUAAUGGGCCCUCUUGUUCAAGUCCUUCGGUUGAUGGAUAAUGAAAAUAAGUCUGCAAUGAGAUAUAUUUAUGAGGUUAUGGAUAGAACAAAAGAGACGAUUAAAAGAUAUUUUAAUGAAAAUAAAAAAAAAUAUGAGAAAAUUUUUACAUUCAUUGGCGAAAGAUGGAAUUGUCAACUUCAUCGUCCCUUACAUGCAGCAGGAUAUUAUUUGAAUCCUGAAUUCUUUUAUAAGAUUAAAUCUGUUAGGUUUGAUGCAUAAGUUUUGGAUGGGUUAUAUCAGUGCGUUGCAAGAUUAGUUCCCAGCCUUGAGGUUCAAGAUAAGAUUAUUCAUGAAUUAUCUUUAUAUAAAAAUGCCGAAGGUAUUUUUGGAAUUCCAAUUGUCGUUCGAUCCAGGACAACUACGUCUCCAGGUAUUAAUAAUUUGAUAUAAUUAAUUUCAUAUAUAUUAUGUUACUAUGUUAUUGCUAAUAAUAACAUAAAUUUUGCAGUUGAAUGGUGGAGCCUAUUUGGAAAUUCCACCCCGAACUUACAGCAAUUUGCUAUCAAAGUACUUAGUUUGACAUGUAGUGCUUCGGGUUGUGAGCGAAACUGGAGUGUCUUUGAGCAUGUAAGGAUCACUAAAUAUUUUUGUUUUAAUUUAUUUAUUUAUUUAGAUAGAUGUAUUAAUAUAUUUUUAAAUUAUAUGACAUGACAGAUUCACUCGAAGAGAAGAAAUCGAUUGGAACAUCAACGAUUGCACGAUCUUGUUUACAUAAAGUAUAAUCAAGCUUUGAAAGCUCGUUAUUAUUUGCAAAAUAG
rnacentral:lncRNA from 1 species